GCCGGGCACGGUGGCGCGUGCCUGUAAUCCCAGCUACUCAGGAGGUUGAGGCAGGAGAAUCGCUUGAACCCAGGAGGCAGAGGUUGCAGUGAACCAGGAUCGCGCCACUGCACUCCAGCCUGGGCAACACAGUGAGACUCUGUCUCAU
rnacentral:SRP_RNA from 1 species